rnacentral:rRNA from 1 species
CGGAGCUCGCUCUGGUGGCGAGUGGCGAACGGGUGAGUAAUAUAUCGGAACGUACCCUGGAGUGGGGGAUAACGUAGCGAAAGUUACGCUAAUACCGCAUACGAUCUACGGAUGAAAGUGGGGGAUCGCAAGACCUCAUGCUCGUGGAGCGGCCGAUAUCUGAUUAGCUAGUUGGUAGGGUAAAAGCCUACCAAGGCAUCGAUCAGUAGCUGGUCUGAGAGGACGACCAGCCACACUGGAACUGAGACACGGUCCAGACUCCUACGGGAGGCAGCAGUGGGGAAUUUUGGACAAUGGGCGAAAGCCUGAUCCAGCAAUGCCGCGUGAGUGAAGAAGGCCUUCGGGUUGUAAAGCUCUUUUGUCAGGGAAGAAACGGUGAGGGCUAAUAUCCCUUGCUAAUGACGGUACCUGAAGAAUAAGCACCGGCUAACUACGUGCCAGCAGCCGCGGUAAUACGUAGGGUGCAAGCGUUAAUCGGAAUUACUGGGCGUAAAGCGUGCGCAGGCGGUUUUGUAAGUCUGAUGUG